UUCUGCAGUUGAUAAUGAAACUUCUUCCUGUAUUAAAGGAAUAAGGAAGACAGUGAGAAAGAAGCAAAUCUGAUAGGAAGAGAUUCCAAGGAAGGAAGAAAAAGAUGUAAUUUAUAGCCAGCUUAAAUGAGUAAAUAACAUUUAGAGUAAAAGAUUUGCAAGCAGAAGUUGAUGACUUUUAUAAUAAGUAUUCUAAAAAACAUAUUAAAAAAGUUGAUGACGUAAAGAAAUUGUUAUAUAUACUUGUCUUGUUUGGGAGGCCGUGAUUUUGGUUGUAACAGCGUCGAAGUCUGAAUUGAUACAACGAAGGAAAUGAUCAGAAGGGUUUCUUCUACUUGGACAUGGGAAUCCAGCUUUGGCGAAGAACUGCAUGCGAAAAUACAACUGUGUCAGCUUUUAACCUGUCCAAAGUAUAUUGUUUGACCCCCAGAGAGAAGAAAGAGAUGAUCAAAGAGUGCAAAAACCUCACUACUUGGUUGGUGUAUAGAAGAGAUAACAGUCUUUGAAUCAUGAGCCAAAUUUCUGAGAGUUUGAGCAACAAAAUAUGCUGAUGCACUGUCGAGACCAGUGGUGGGUUCAUCAAGGAACAAAAGAGUUGGCCUUGUGAGGAUUUCAAGAGCAAUGCUGAGUCUUCUCUUUUCUCCACCGCUUAUACCUCUCAAGUGCCAAUUCCCUAUUAUCCGAUCUGCACAUUCUUGAAGACCCAUUUCCAUAAUCGUUCCUUCUAUUAUCUCAUUCACCUCUUCUCUCCUCAUGCUCCCUGGAAGCCUUAGAUUAGCUAAGUAAUAUAUUGUCUCUCUCACUGUCAGAGUUCCCAGCAUUGUCUCUUCUUGGGUCACAUAAGCCUAAACAUAUCUCAUUAAUUAGCACUGAAAUAUCAAAAAUGGAUUUUUCUUUUCACAUUUACACGCAUACUUACAGCACCGCCAUAGUCCAAUCUCCUCUUCUUUCCAUUUAGAAACACAUUUCCAGACAUGAUAACGUUUCUGGAGAGCCUUCCUGCAAGCAUUGCCAGUUAUCUGAUGUUAAUAUAUAGAGCUUUUGUCAUGAUAAUUACGAAACUGAAUAUAACCACAAGUAAUAGUAUGUAUUUUUAUCAGGUAUGCUAAAGGAGUGAAAGAGUAUUAAUUGUGGAGGUUGGAACAUGGAGAAGCUAGCUGCUUCACAAGCAGUAACGUCAUAUGAUAUAUAGAAAUCUAAAGAAAGGUAUGGGGAAAGUUCCCAUCGAGGUUAAGUCUUCAAGGGUUGGAUCAAAUAAGUUAGAUGAUGAAGCAUCAGAUGAUAAGAAUCAACCUUCUUCUUCUCAUUUGGGAAGGCUUGAACAUGCGGAUUUAGACUUCAACUAUCAGUUUACGCUUGAUAGGGAGAGGAGACAAUCAAAUCAACACAAUAAUUUGUAUAUGCUACACUUUCACUGCAGAUGAAGAUAUAGAACGUUGGAGCUAUAGAGAGGCAAUAGGAGGUGUUCUUAGUCUUCUAGCCAUGGAAGAGGAGAUUGAAUUUUUUAUGAGGAAUCACACUAUAUGUUUGUAGAUCUGCCUAGAAAUCAAAAUAUGGUUGGAUAGUAGUUCAAGGCGA